rnacentral:rRNA from 1 species
CGAGGGGAGUGAAAAAGAACCUGAAACCGUGUACGUACAAGCAGUGGGAGCACAGGUUUACCUGUGUGACUGCGUACCUUUUGUAUAAUGGGUCAGCGACUUAUAUUCUGUAGCAAGGUUAACCGUAUAGGGGAGCCGUAGGGAAACCGAGUCUUAACCGGGCGUUAAGUUGCAGGGUAUAGACCCGAAACCCGGUGAUCUAGCCAUGGGCAGGUUGAAGGUUGGGUAACACUAACUGGAGGACCGAACCGACUAAUGUUGAAAAAUUAGCGGAUGACCUGUGGCUGGGGGUGAAAGGCCAAUCAAACCGGGAGAUAGCUGGUUCUCCCCGAAAGCUAUUUAGGUAGCGCCUCGUGAAUUCAUCUCCGGGGGUAGAGCACUGUUUCGGCUAGGGGGCCAUCCCGGCUUACCAACCCGAUGCAAACUGCGAAUACCGGAGAAUGUUAUCACGGGAGACACACGGCGGGUGCUAACGUCCGUCGUGAAGAGGGAAACAACCCAGACCGCCAGCUAAGGUCCCAAAGUCAUGGUUAAGUGGGAAACGAUGUGGGAAGGCCCAGACAGCCAGGAUGUUGGCUUAGAAGCAGCCAUCAUUUAAAGAAAGCGUAAUAGCUCACUGGUCGAGUCGGCCUGCGCGGAAGAUGUAACGGGGCUAAACCAUGCACCGAAGCUGCGGCAGCGAACGUAUCACCCAAGACAACUUUACGGAGUUGACGAUUGACGGAGCGAAGCGACGUCAAAGCGUUCAUUAAAGUCGAGUUGGCUUAGGGAUACGUUCGUUGGGUAGGGGAGCGUUCUGUAAGCCUGUGAAGGUGUGUCGUGAGGCAUGCUGGAGGUAUCAGAAGUGCGAAUGCUGACAUAAGUAACGAUAAAGCGGGUGAAAAGCCCGCUCGCCGGAAGACCAAGGGUUCCUGUCCAACGUUAAUCGGGGCAGGGUGAGUCGACCCCUAAGGCGAGGCCGAAAGGCGUAGUCGAUGGGAAACGGGUUAAUAUUCCCGUACUUGGUGUUACUGCGAAGGGGGGACGGAGAAGGCUAUGUUGGCCGGGCGACGGUUGUCCCGGUUUAAGCGUGUAGGUGUGUGUUCCAGGUAAAUCCGGUUCACUUUAACACUGAGGCGUGACGACGAGGCACUACGGUGCUGAAGCAACAAAUGCCCUGCUUCCAGGAAAAGCCUCUAAGCAUCAGGUAACACGAAAUCGUACCCCAAACCGACACAGGUGGUCAGGUAGAGAAUACCAAGGCGCUUGAGAGAACUCGGGUGAAGGAACUAGGCAAAAUGGUGCCGUAACUUCGGGAGAAGGCACGCUGACACGUAGGUGAAGUGAUUUACUCAUGGAGCUGAAGUCAGUCGAAGAUACCAGCUGGCUGCAACUGUUUAUUAAAAACACAGCACUGUGCAAACACGAAAGUGGACGUAUACGGUGUGACGCCUGCCCGGUGCCGGAAGGUUAAUUGAUGGGGUCAGCGCAAGCGAAGCUCCUGAUCGAAGCCCCGGUAAACGGCGGCCGUAACUAUAACGGUCCUAAGGUAGCGAAAUUCCUUGUCGGGUAAGUUCCGACCUGCACGAAUGGCGUAAUGAUGGCCAGGCUGUCUCCACCCGAGACUCAGUGAAAUUGAACUCGCUGUGAAGAUGCAGUGUACCCGCGGCAAGACGGAAAGACCCCGUGAACCUUUACUAUAGCUUGACACUGAACAUUGAGCCUUGAUGUGUAGGAUAGGUGGGAGGCUUUGAAGUGUGGACGCCAGUCUGCAUGGAGCCGACCUUGAAAUACCACCCUUUAAUGUUUGAUGUUCUAACGUGGACCCGUAAUCCGGGUUGCGGACAGUGUCUGGUGGGUAGUUUGACUGGGGCGGUCUCCUCCUAAAGAGUAACGGAGGAGCACGAAGGUUGGCUAAUCCUGGUCGGACAUCAGGAGGUUAGUGCAAUGGCAUAAGCCAGCUUGACUGCGAGCGUGACGGCGCGAGCAGGUGCGAAAGCAGGUCAUAGUGAUCCGGUGGUUCUGAAUGGAAGGGCCAUCGCUCAACGGAUAAAAGGUACUCCGGGGAUAACAGGCUGAUACCGCCCAAGAGUUCAUAUCGACGGCGGUGUUUGGCACCUCGAUGUCGGCUCAUCACAUCCUGGGGCUGAAGUAGGUCCCAAGGGUAUGGCUGUUCGCCAUUUAAAGUGGUACGCGAGCUGGGUUUAGAACGUCGUGAGACAGUUCGGUCCCUAUCUGCCGUGGGCGCUGGAGAACUGAGGGGGGCUGCUCCUAGUACGAGAGGACCGGAGUGGACGCAUCACUGGUGUUCGGGUUGUCAUGCCAAUGGCACUGCCCGGUAGCUAAAUGCGGAAGAGAUAAGUGCUGAAAGCAUCUAAGCACGAAACUUGCCCCGAGAUGAGUUCUCCCUGAGACUUAGAGUCUCCUGAAGGAACGUUGAAGACGACGACGUUGAUAGGCCGGGUGUGUAAGCGCAGCGAUGCGUUGAGCUAACCGGUACUAAUGAACCGUGAGGCUUAACCUUACA